UGGCGAUCCCUUACUUCCCAUUUUAAACGC
rnacentral:piRNA from 1 species